rnacentral:lncRNA from 1 species
CACACUGAUAGCGAAGCAGCAGCUUGCUUCUAAUUAAAUAUGCGGCUGACUCUCCAUGCUCUCGCUCGCUAGCAGCCGCACAGAGGAGAAGCGGCUGAGGAGAGGAAGGAAGGAGUCUAUCACAUCAUCUCUCUGUCCACAGGCUUUCCUUGGGGCUUAUGAAGAUUUCUUCUCACCAACCCCUCUUCACCCGUCGGAGCCAGAAGGAUGUGUGGAUAGACGGCUUAAGAACAGUAAGUAACGUGAGCUGUUUUCUUCCAUCCCUGUUCAGGAUUCGUUGCAACAGAGCUGAGGUUUGCUUGUUGGAGGCGUUUGGGAUAAGCACGCACUCCUUGAAGGGAAGGGAGCUUCCUGCCACGUUUGCGUUGUUUGAUGUGAAUUCUGGUUGACUUAGCUGGUUUUUACUGGUGACAAUCAACGUUCUCAGUGCUGCUUCCUCUUGUGAUCUGUGAUGCUGAGCUUUGUGUGGCAUGGAACAUACGCGUGCUAGUGUAGUAGUUUAAGAUACCCUGUGAGUAUCACAGGCACUAGCUCUGGGGUUGCUUCUGUGAGCUAAGCACCCCUUGUACAUUUCCCUUUUAAGUUCCAG